UACAUACCAUUUUAUUAACGGUAGGGCCAUAUGUGUACCCAUAGUAUGACGGAGGGUAUAUACUUAUCACUUAUCAUAGUUCGAGGGUAUAUUUGUCCCUUUUCCGAUCUAAAUUUUUAAAUAUUAAGUUAAUCUACUUUAAGUUAGGCCAAGAUGUUAGUCAAAUUAAUUCUCGUGAAGUGAAAUAGGCCAAGUUAAAAAGGGGUGGAGGGAGUAUAUAUGAAGGGGAGCUGUGACGUAACCUGUAAGGUUAUUGUCAUGUGACUAGGAGGUUACGGGUUCAAGUUGUGUAAACAACCUCUUAAAGAAAUGCAAUGCAGGAUAAGAUUGUGUACAAUAGACCUUUGUGGUCCGGACUUUUCCGGACUCCAUACAAAGUGGGAGCUUUAGUGCAUUUGUGUGUGUGUGUGUGUGUGUAUAUAUAUAUGUAUGUAUGUAUUUUGCAUCAUUUUGUGUAAAUGGUGAAUGUUAAUGUUAGUAGCUAAAUAAUUAUUGCUAUGAGGCAAAUUGAGUUUUAAGAGUCAGUGGGUUUUAGAGGCGGAGUCAGUAUUUCAACUUUUAUGUGUUUUGGAUUUUAAAUGGCGAUUUCAGUUGAUAGUAGCCCAUUUUUAUUUGCCUUGGUGAUGGAUGUUUUGACACGAUGUAUACAAGGGGAGGUGCAUUGGUUGGUGUAUGUUAUUUGCUGUGAUGUCAAUUUCGUAAAUUCACUCAUUCCACCUCAAUCAUCAUGCAUUGUUGAUUCUUUUGAAUCAAAGCUGUUAAAUAUGGACUUGCGAUCCAUCGGUGGAAAAUCAUUGCCUGAAUUUUCACUUCUUCAUAAAUCUCCUCAUAUUCAUGGCCCUAAAGUUCUUCAAGUAAUUAUCUUCCCUUCUGAAGAUAUAUUUUUUAAUCAUAUUAACAUGAUAAUGAUUGCAACUUAUAAUACUUUUCAUAUAGUUUAUGAUAUCUAAAUUCGGAAAAGUGAUAUAUAUACUCCCGAACUAUGAUAAAUGGUACGUAUAUACCCUCCGUCAUACUUUGGGUAUACAUAUGCCCCUAUCGUUAGUGUGAGGGGCACAUACAUACCAUUUUAUUAACGGUAGGGCCAUAUGUGUACCCAUAGUAUGACGGAGGGUAUAUACUUAUCACUUAUCAUAGUUCGAGGGUAUAUUUGUCCCUUUUCCGAUCUAAAUUUUUAAAUAUUAAGUUAAUCUACUUUAAGUUAGGCCAAGAUGUUAGUCAAAUUAAUUCUCGUGAAGUGAAAUAGGCCAAGUUAAAAAGGGGUGGAGGGAGUAUAUAUGAAGGGGAGCUGUGACGUAACCUGUAAGGUUAUUGUCAUGUGACUAGGAGGUUACGGGUUCAAGUUGUGUAAACAACCUCUUAAAGAAAUGCAAUGCAGGAUAAGAUUGUGUACAAUAGACCUUUGUGGUCCGGACUUUUCCGGACUCCAUACAAAGUGGGAGCUUUAGUGCAUUUGUGUGUG
rnacentral:lncRNA from 1 species